rnacentral:rRNA from 1 species
UACAGAGGUGCCGAGCGUUAGGCGGAAUCACUGGGCUUAAAGCGUGUGUAGGCGGACUUCUAAGUACCUUGUGAAAUCCUACGGCUUACCCGUGGAACUGCUGGGUAUACUGGUCGUCUUGAGCCACCUAGGGGCCAGCGGAACAAAUGGUGGAGCGGUGAAAUGCGUAGAUAUCAUUUGGAACGCCAACGGUGAAAACAGCUGGCUGGGGGGUGUGCUGACGCUGAGACACGAAAGCCAGGGGAGCGAACGGG